GAUGAACGCUGGCGGCGUGCCUAAUACAUGCAAGUCGAGCGAACAGACGAGGAGCUUGCUCCUCUGACGUUAGCGGCGGACGGGUGAGUAACACGUGGAUAACCUACCUAUAAGACUGGGAUAACUUCGGGAAACCGGAGCUAAUACCGGAGAAUAUAUUGAACCGCAUGGUUCAAUAGUGAAAGACGGUUUUGCUGUCACUUAUAGAUGGAUCCGCGCCGCAUUAGCUAGUUGGUAAGGUAACGGCUUACCAAGGCGACGAUGCGUCGCCGACCUGAGAGGGGGCUCGGCCACCCUGGAACUGGGACACGGUCCAGACUCCUCCGGGCGGCGGCAGUAGGGAGUCUUCCGCAAUGGGCGAAUGCUUGACGGAGCAACGCCGCGUGGGUGAUGAAGGUCUUCGGAUCUUAAAACUCUGUUAUUGGGGAAGAACAAAUGUGUAAGUGACUAUGCACGUCUUGACGGUACCUACUCAGAAAGCCCCGGCUAACUACGUG
rnacentral:rRNA from 1 species